AGUGAACGCUGGCGGUAGGCCUAACACAUGCAAGUCGAACGGCAGCACAGUAAGAGCUUGCUCUUACGGGUGGCGAGUGGCGGACGGGUGAGGAAUACAUCGGAAUCUACUUUUUCGUGGGGGAUAACGUAGGGAAACUUACGCUAAUACCGCAUACGACCUACGGGUGAAAGCAGGGGAUCUUCGGACCUUGCGCGAUUGAAUGAGCCGAUGUCGGAUUAGCUAGUUGGCGGGGUAAAGGCCCACCAAGGCGACGAUCCGUAGCUGGUCUGAGAGGAUGAUAGGCAAAACUGGAACUGAGACACGGUCCAGCCUCCUACGGGAGGCAGCAGGGGGGAAUAUUGGACAAUGGGCGCAAGCCUGAUCCAGCCAUACCGCGUGGGUGAAGAAGGCCUUCGGGUUGUAAGCCCUUUUGUUGGGAAAGAAAAGCAGCAGGUUAAUACCCCGCUGUUCUGACGGUACCCAAAGAAUAAGCACCGGCUAACUUCGUG
rnacentral:rRNA from 1 species